CUGCUCACGUCGGUAGCACAUAUACUAAAACUGAAACAGUACAGAGAAGAUUAGCAUGGUCCCUGUGCAAGGAUGACGUGAAGAGCUCCAUAUUAAACAACAAACCUCUUU
rnacentral:snRNA from 1 species